CAAUGUAUUGAAUAAAAAAACUUUAGGCCUUUUGAUCAAGGAGUACAUCUUACAAUACAUUACAAUAUACACAUAAAACGGAAGAUAGAAGAAGGAACUAUGCCUUAUAGUAUAAUUUCUCAUCCUCCUUGGCUCUUAUUUUUGCCUACUAAUGAGAGGAAAUAGAAGGGGGAAGAACUCUCUCUCUCUUUAUUCUCGACUCUCACCUAAAAUCUUAGGGAAAAGGAAGUUAGAUGAUGUUUGAGCUUGCUCUCUUGCCAAAAUUGUGCAUGCCUUGUUCUGAAGUGAGAGGAUUUAUUUAUAGGCCAGAGUAAGACGCCACACACCAUUAAUGUUCUGAAAAGUUGCAGCGGCGCCGUACAGUCUAUCCUCUUGUCCUUUUUUCAAAUUUUGCACCAACCAAUCUUGUAUGCUAGUGCUCUAAAUGCCUAGCUUUCUUCUUUGACGUUGAAGGCCUUGGUUGAACGUGCCUUCUCAUUGACAUGGUCGGAAUUGAAGGCCUUGGUUGAACGUGCCUUCUCACUGACAUGGUCGGAAUUGAUAUGCAAAAGUAAAGAAUUAUGCAAAGUAUAUAGGCAAGCUCGUUAUCAACAUAUGUACGUUCGGAAAUUAAAGUGGUUGCGAAGGGCACUUACCUAAACCGCCUUGACAAAAAAAUAUUUGUAGUUUGACCUUGACUUUUACCCGUAGAUAGGUGCAAGCACGGGUGUCGAACCCAAGGGGUGUAGGAUAAAUGUUUGCUUGAAAAUAUUGAGAUUAGUAACAAAAAGGAAGGAAAAGCAUUGGAAACAA
rnacentral:lncRNA from 1 species